AGUGAACGCUGGCGGUAGGCCUGACACAUGCAAGUCGAACGGCAGCACAGUAAGAGCUUGCUCUUACGGGUGGCGAGUGGCGGACGGGUGAGGAAUACAUCGGAAUCUACUUUUUCGUGGGGGAUAACGUAGGGAAACUUACGCUAAUACCGCAUACGACCUACGGGUGAAAGCAGGGGAUCUUCGGACCUUGCGCGAUUGAAUGAGCCGAUGUCGGAUUAGCUAGUUGGCGGGGUAAAGGCCCACCAAGGCGACGAUCCGUAGCUGGCCUGAGAGGAUGAGCAGCCACACUGGAACUGAGACACGGUCCAGACUCCUACGGGAGGCAGCAGUGGGGAAUAUUGGACAAUGGACGAAAGCCUGAUCCAGCCAUACCGCGUGGGUGAAGAAGGCCUUCGGGUUGUAAAGCCCUUUUGUUGGGAAAGAAAAGCAGCAGGUUAAUACCCCGCUGUUCUGACGGUACCCAAAGAAUAAGCACCGGCUAACUUCGUG
rnacentral:rRNA from 1 species